rnacentral:rRNA from 1 species
AUCUUGGUCAUUAGAGGAAGUAAAAGUCGUAACAAGGUUUCCGUAGGUGAACCUGCGGAAGGAUCAUUAUAGAAAUAAAACUGAACAGGCUGUUUGCUGGUCCUUCUCGAGGGACAUGUGCACGCCUGUCGUCUUUAUUUUUCCAACUGUGCACAUAUUGUAGACCUGGAGUUUUUCUUAUCGUUCGAAUAGAUUGAGGACUGCCGUCGAGGCUUUGCCUUGUAUUUUCCAGGUCUAUGUUGUAAUACAUUUUCACAACGUGUUUCAGAAUGUCGAGUACUGGGGAUAACAAAUAUACAACUUUCAGCAACGGAUCUCUUGGCUCUCGCAUCGAUGAAGAACGCAGCGAAAUGCGAUAAGUAAUGUGAAUUGCAGAAUUCAGUGAAUCAUCGAAUCUUUGAACGCAUCUUGCGCUCCUUGGUAUUCUGAGGAGCAUGCCUGUUUGAGUGUCAUCAAAAGUUCUCAACCAUGCCGGUUCUUCUGGCAUGGCUUGGAUUUGGGGGUUUUGCAGGCUUUUAGGUCGGCUCUCCUUGAAAGAAUUAGUGGUAUCCGGAGUACCUCGGGCGUGAUAAUUAUCUAUGCCUUGGUGGGUGUACUGUGCGUGAGCUGCUUCCAACCGAGUGUUGACAAAUUUGACCUCAAAUCAGGUAGGACUACCCGCUGAACUUAAGCAUAUCAAUAAGCGGAGGAAAAGAAACUAACAAGGAUUCCCCUAGUAACUGCGAGUGAAGCGGGAAAAGCUCAAAUUUAAAAUCUGACGGUUCUUGACCGUCCGAGUUGUAAUCUAGAGAAGUGCUACCCGUGCUGGACCGUGUACAAGUCUCCUGGAAUGGAGCAUCAUAGAGGGUGAGAAUCCCGUCUUUGACAUGGACUGCCUGCAUGUCUCGGUGCGCUCUCGAAGAGUCGAGUUGUUUGGGAAUGCAGCUCAAAACGGGUGGUAAAUGCCAUCUAAAGCUAAAUAUUGGCGAGAGACCGAUAGCGAACAAGUACCGUGAGGGAAAGAUGAAAAGAAUC